GCUUGUCCACCGCAGACGAAGCCAUGAACUUUGGCCGUGGCUGAUGUCUCAAAACACAACCACAACAUAACCUGUCGCGAGUACUUUGCACACUUUAAAAAUUGUGUUUUCGUGCCGUAUUACUUACGUCGACAACCUACACUGUUCCCUCUGUUACUGUUUGCGCCAGAGAUACGGUGUCCACCACCUGUCAGUGCAACGGUCUCGCUGUACGCUAAACAACAACCACCUGUGGGUUUUAACAGCCGCUGGGUUCUAUUAUUUAGUUGACAAAGUUAUCAACAAUGAAAGUAAGGCAGGGCAUCCGGAUCACAGCUGCUCUUGUUUAGUUUUAGUUCUAGUGGUUUAACCCCCAUACUAGAACGGGACAUCCUCAUUGAUGUAUGUUUAAACUAUUUGUUCAUAUGGAACUCCAGUGUGACAUUUGUUAUGUUGAUUUUGACCUGGACUUGCAUCGACCCAAGAGCUUGCCUUGUGGACAUACCAUCUGUAAAGAGUGUGUGCAGAAUCCGGAGUUGGGGAGGAGGUGCCCAACUUGCAGGAAGGACCUGCCCGUUGACCUUGAUGACCUUCCGGACACCAUCCUAGCGAUCCGACUGAUUGAGAACGGUGGCGUCCCACCCCGCAAGAAGCCUAGAGGAGAGGACAGCGACCAGCAGCGGCUGCAGCGGGGCGUGGACGCGGGCAGGAAGGUGGUGGAGGCGCUGCGGCUGGCGGUCCCAAAGGCCGUGGAGGCGCUCAACCGCCAGCUGGACGCGUCCGUCGCCCAGCUCCUGCAGCUGGAGGAGGCCCUGGAGCAGGUGCAGCGGAGUGCCGCGGGUGAUGAGGGCACCUCGCAGGAGCAGCUGCAGCUGGCCGUGCAGCUGGAGGACAGCCUCCACCUGCUCACCACCAACAAGUGCAGCGUCGUCUCGGAGGAAGAGGGUGGGCCCACCUGGAAGGCCGAUGUGCAGCUCGACUCGUUCGGCGACGUCUUCCGCCUUCUGUUGCUGCAGCUGCGCGCGGACGGCCAGCUGGCCAAGGUUGACGACGUCGCUGUCCCCUGCUCCCCAGACGCUUACGUGGGACCGUCAAAGCAUACCAUUCUCACCAUAAAAGACGAGGAUCUCACAGCAGGCGACUUAAAAGUGAAUGACGUCCUACGUGCAAAAAGGCCGUGGAAGCACAUACGCUGCAUUAAGGGCUUGAAGGGCAAGGGUUCGGACCAGCUGCUGCGCGUCCUUUCGCCUCACCUCUUGCAUCUCGAGGAGCUCGGGUGCUCGGGUCCGGUAGAACCGAAGGUCCUGGAGGAGGUGCUCAAACUGACUUCACUCAAAAGGCUAGACAUCCAAUGCGAUGACAAGCGUGACGACUACCCAGACCUGCCGUUGCAGCUAGAAGAGCUGGAAAUAAACUUCCCAAGCGAGCGUCAGCUGCGCUGUGUGCAACGCAUGCCUGCUCUGAGGAGCCUACAGGUGUUGAAUUACAGUGGUCCAAAUGUAACCUUCACUCCCUCACAGUACGGGACACUGCGAUGGCUGUUCGCGGGCCUCGACACUGAUCACAAACCCACCAUGCUCUCCCUGGUGCGCGCCCACGCCUCAUCGCUGCAGGAGCUGAAGGUGUUCUGCAGCAGCAGUAAAGAAGCAAUGAGCGGUGGUUACUAUUUCCCCGACCUAGGCCAGGAGAUAUCUGUAUGCCGCCUGCUGCACCUCCGCCGGCUAGUACUCGCUCGUCCAACCACCGACCCGUGCACGGAUCUCGCUGGCUGCCUGGAGCAGCGUCGGCAACAACGUGCCUUCCUGCCCUCGUCCGUCAAGGUGGUUUGCAGCGCGUGUUCGAGCUCUCCCGAAGUGUACCUACAGUGAGGCGCCCAUCGCCGUAGAGGCGGUCAGUGGGAGGCGGCGCACCCACGGUGCUUCAUUCGGCCCACCCCCGCACUAGGGGUGCGACCGGGAGGGGGAGGGGGGGCACCGCCACACGGUGGAGGUUAGCCGGAGUGAAGCCGUCGCAGUAUACGGAUCACUCCGGUGGGUGUCAACUCCAUUCACUAGCCCACCUUGCUCUUCCCGCUCUCCCUCUCACUGCCGGAGCUGUAGCAGGUGUACUUCACUACCAGAGAUGCCCGCAAAGGAGGCAUCUUUUGUAGUGAACGCUCAACACGCCCGCACUACGGGCAGGCUGGAAGUUCCUCGUCGUCCAAGACAUGCCGCCAACACGUUUUAAAGUCGUUACAUCCUGCUCUCGCUGCCCGUCCAGAGACAGAGACCGGAGCGCUCCCAGUGCCCGAGCAGGUAUGGGGUGGAGCGAGCGCCUGACGGCGGCCGGGUAGGCCACCCGCACCGACUUGGAGCGCGGCGGGCGCGCCUACCGCCUACCUCGCAGGGGGCUCGGGUGCGGCGGGGCGGGCGGCAAAGUCGCGACCAAGUCGCCUCCGGGCCCUGCGCCGGAGCUGGACAACGCCUCACAUUUCUAUAAGCAGUAACACAAUUUGUUCAAAAACUUGUACAGUAUAAUUUUUUCAGAAAUGUAGUUCGAGAUGACUCUUUUGGGUUAAUUGCUCUGUGUGGUUAAGUCAGGAGAAUGAAUGGGCUGGUCUUACCAAUAAAUUGUAUAAAUAAAAUAGUAAAUAUAUAAUUGUUGUAUGUGCCAUAUUUUAGGUUGAAUACAGUUUUUUUUUACAAAUAAAAUAUUGUGGACUGAUUGUCUUUUGAAUCCCGUAAAAUUUGUCUUGUCUCUAGUAAAGAUUCCUUAUCCUAGAUUUGGUAAUGCCACUCGUAACAUAACACCAUAUGCAAGCAUAAUUGAAUCCCAAGCAGGUGAAAGAACGCCUGAUGACCGACCCGCACUUUUUCAAUUUGAACUGCGCACCUCAUCGCGCGUGCGUGGUGCGGUGCAUUGUGGUCCCAGAGGGCCCGCCAAUGGGAGCGCUUGUUUACCUAACCAUGACCUUGGCGGACGUGUUUCGACUGUCAUAGCACUUCUACUUCACGCACAACAACAACAUAACCUGAUCUCGAGAACAUAUCUAAUGUUUUAAAUCGUGUUUCCCUUCGGUAGUGCUUACAUCGACAACCCAGGCUGCGUCCCCCUUUUACUGCUUGUGUCUGUGAUGCGAUCUGGACAACCUGUCAAUGCUUCGGUUUUCCUGUACCCAAAACAACCACCUGUGAAAAAGUAGAUGUGGGGUUCCAUUUAUUUAAUUUAGUUGACAAAGUUAUCAAUCAUCAAUGAAAAACGGGUAGUGUCUGUGGAUCAAAGCUCCCAUUGUUUAAUUUGACUACUACUGAUUUAUCCUCCACCCUUGAAUGCAACAAUUCAUUAUUAUGGAACUCCAGUG